rnacentral:lncRNA from 1 species
GAAUACCCAACAAACUGGACAUUAUUGGUGUUAAGAAGACCCAGAAAAUCACUGUAAUCAAUCCUAUGCGAAUUCUCAGGAUCCCACUCUGUUCCUUUCAACUUUCCCCGCAUAGUCAGCAAGGCCCUGCUCCAACUCGAAGCCAUGACCAGCUGCCUCUCUAAUUGGACAUUUGCCUUCCGUUCAAGCUCUUCCAGCUUACUUAUCCGUUGUCUCUCGGCAUCUUUUUUUUUUUGGUAAAGUCUAAUAAUUUUUUUUUGGUAAAGGUCUCUCGGCAUCUUUCAG